AUGAGAUUUCCCCUCGAUCUCCCAUUCCCCUGAGACGAGAAGAAAAGAAAAUUAACAAAGCAGCGGCUGCUGCUGAUUCAGAUCGAGAAAUAGGCAGAGAUUGAGAGAUUAAAGAGAGAGAUUAAGAGUGAAUCAGAAAUUCUGAUGAUCUCGAUGGUGUUCUAUUAUGGUCUUAUAGAUGAUGUUUCGAUCGGUGUUUGGUGAUUUAGGGUUUAAGAAGAAAUUGCAGAUGAAACUGAAAAGGGAAUCGGAGCUGAAAUUGAUAUGGGUUUGUCGAGAUAAGGGUUAUUGAAGAGAAUUGAACAGAAACUAUGGUUAGGUUUUGGGAAGAGCAGCUGAGACUGAUUCUUAUUUGUUUCCUAGCCCUAAUUAUUGUUUGUCCUGUUUAAUUGGAGGUGCGAUUUCGGCUGAAGCUGGAAAAGAUUCAUGAAACCUGAUUUACAAUGGAGAAUCCGAUUGGAGAAGCGGCAAGUCUAAUUACAAAAUUGCUGCUCAAUUCCUCUCAAAGAAGUCACGCUUACAUGCUGCAAUGAGAUUAGAUCAUUUUCUUUGUUCAAAGGACUAUCGACAGAUAAAAUCAAAUGUUGCAAAAUUCCUUUAUACAUAUAAAUCACAACUGGAGCGCAAAUAUGGUGAUGAUUAGUUUGUGCCAUAUGCAGCACUGAGGUCUCUGAAACUGUCUCCUGACGCUUUAUUUAAUUUCCCUGAAUCUCCUACUCAAUGUGAAAAUGUAAAAAAAAUGAUCGGGUCAUAAUCGGAAUUAGGCGGAUAAAUGCACAUUUGCAGAUCAGUUUAGCAACCCACUGAACAACAUUUUCGUUUCAAUCACAAUGCACACUCCUUCACCAUGUAUAUACUCUAGGACUUGAAGAUGUGCUUAUUUAAAUGCUCAGCCAAGAUGUGACACAUUUCUACAAUUACUAUAGUACAAUUAGGUUUCCACUGCGUAGAACUCUUGGGUCCACUCUUGGUUCAUGAUAACAGCGGUGAGCUUCUUUGUUUUGGCUAUUUUGUAUUUCAUCUCAUUUAUUAGAUUUGAAGGAUUCGUGACCGUUUUGCGAAAAACAUUACUCUAGAUGAUAAGCAGGAAAACUAAAUAUUUGCUACUCAGAAUAGUGUUAAAUAUUUUUAAUAAAAUUUUAUAAAAGUGUCUAUUAGUAUAUAAGCAUUGCCGGAAGAAAGAAUGAGUUUGCAUUGUAUCAAUAGAUUUCAAAUGGAUGAAAUCUGUAGGAUAAGACAAUACUAAAACAAAUGUCUGUGUUAGAUAGUAACUCCGACACAUGACUUCCUAAGAAACCAUCCGUUAAUAGGGUUGUCAAAUAUUUAUUCCACUAAUUUUUUCAUGUUAACUUAUUCCCUAGUACUCUACUAUUAAAGGUACAGAUGAAUGAAUAAUGGAAAAGCAAGUACUGCCUUGGCAGCAAUAGCCAAUAGGUUCUAUUAUGCACACAACAUGUACUAAGAUCCACUUAUUUACUGUCAAUUUGUUCUUUUUAUCAAGCUCGCAAUCAUCUGUCGUAUAUUGGUUUUUGUAAAUUUUGGUAGCUUAUGUUUAGCUCAAUCUGAUAUAGGUUAAGGAAGAAGCAUUGUAUUUCAUGGCUGUAUAUAAGUUAUGGAAAGAUUGUAUCCCAUGCCCAGCAUACCAUAUAUACACACUAAAUGUUCACACCGUCUCCAAUUAGUGUUGGUUAAUUUUGAAAACUAUAGAUUCGGUACACUUGAUUGGCAACUUUAUUGUCAAUUUGUUUCUUCUUUCUACUAGCUUACGGAAGAAGAGUGCAUUGUGUGGGUUAUCAAAUCCGAUCAUACAGAGAAUAGGGUUUGCUCUUUUUUUUUUUUUUUUGCUCUCUAAUCUAUAGAUAGAUCAGGGGAAAAAUUGUUUCAUAUGUUGUUGUUUCAAUUUGUCAUCUGGGAUUUAUUCAUUCAUAAUCCUUGCUACGGCACAAUAACAUGCUCGAGGUGCAGCUGAGGUUUUUACUCUAAGGAAGACCUUACAAAGCUGAGAGUUUGUGGGUACUAUUUGAAUGCUUUAAUUUUUGCAGAGGAUAAUGGAAAGUAUUUAGUGGUAAAGUGGGCGGAACUGGUUGAUGUAAUGCAGGUGGAAAAAUUAAGCAUUUAUAGCAUCAAGGUAUUUUUGUAAUCUAAAGUAGUGGAAGUAGUUGCCGGGACACCUACUCUAUUUGUUAUUUUUAGAAGUUAUAACCUGGCAAGUAGCUUGGUUGUGUUACUGGUGAUACAAGUUUAUGUGUAUUUUAUGUUUUUAUCUUCCUUGAGGUGUAUAUACUGUCUGGUGGCUGUUGCAGGUCUAUCUUCAUUUUUCCUUUUGUUCUUUGGUUCUUAACUAA